rnacentral:rRNA from 1 species
AACACAUGCAAGUCGAGGGGCAGCGGGAUUGAAGCUUGCUUCAAUUGCCGGCGACCGGCGCACGGGUGAGUAACGCGUAUCCAACCUUCCGUACACUCAGGGAUAGCCUUUCGAAAGAAAGAUUAAUACCUGAUGGUAUGAUGAGAUUGCAUGAUAGCAUCAUUAAAGAUUCAUCGGUGUACGAUGGGGAUGCGUUCCAUUAGGUAGUAGGCGGGGUAACGGCCCACCUAGCCUACGAUGGAUAGGGGUUCUGAGAGGAAGGUCCCCCACAUUGGAACUGAGACACGGUCCAAACUCCUACGGGAGGCAGCAGUGAGGAAUAUUGGUCAAUGGACGAGAGUCUGAACCAGCCAAGUAGCGUGAAGGAUGAAGGUCCUACGGAUUGUAAACUUCUUUUAUAAGGGAAUAAAAC